AGAAUGUCCAGUUAAGGGCUGAGAUUUAAUUAAAAUCAAUCUAUGGUCUGAAAUAUGCCACGUCAUUUAAAAGACACUAACCUAUCAUUUCACGGAGAGCCAUGGGCAAACAAAUGUUAGUUUCACUGUGUUCUUUCUUUUGACUCUUGGCUCUCUCACUCAUCUCAGUUUCUUUCUCACUCUCAACAAAGUCCAGCCAUGGCCGACCUCUCCUUGCACGCACAUCACCCCCAUUGACAGAUCUUAUGACCGGAAUCACCCCGAAUAUCUAAUGAUGGUAUUGAUGAUGAGAGCUACCAGUCAUUGUUUAAGCCAAUAAUAUGUAAGCUACACUAAGUGCCCAGUUCCAAGAGUGCCCACCUGAUACACAGCUUCUCGAGGGCAUCAUUUUGGUAUAAUUGUUGGGGAGUCUAGCCAUCAGAAAUUGUCCAAAUCUGCAAAAUCUUCUCAAAAAGUAGAUCUUCAAGGAUGCAAGAUUUUCUUCUUCUUUUUCUUGCCCAAUUUUCUAUGAGAAUCAUGUAUUAUAGUGGUGAAAGUUGUUUAUUGUCAACAAUCAUGUUGUUAUGGUUUCAAUAGAACUCUUGUUAUCAUGGAUUCAUGGUCUUGUGAUCAAUAUGUUCAUUUUAAUAAACUUUUGUUCAUUUUUGGAUCACUCACUGCCUAGGUAGAUUUUCAAUGAAGAUUCUUAAAUUCAA